UACGGGGGGUGCAAGCGUUAUUCGGAAUCAUUGGGCGUAAAGGGCGCGUAGGCGGUCUCUUAUGUCAGAUGUGAAAGUCCUCGGCUCAACCGAGGAAGUGCAUUUGAAACUGAGAGACUUGAGUAUGGGAGAGGGAAGCGGAAUUCCUGGUGUAGCGGUGAAAUGCGUAGAUAUCAGGAGGAACACCGGUGGCGAAGGCGGCUUCCUGGACCAAUACUGACGCUGAGGCGCGAAGGCGUGGGGAGCAAACAGG
rnacentral:rRNA from 1 species